CCUACGGGAGGCAGCAGUGGGGGAUAUUGCACAAUGGGGGAAACCCUGAUGCAGCGACGCCGCGUGGGCGAAGAAGUAUUUCGGUAUGUAAAGCCCUAUCAGCAGGGAAGAAGAAAUGACGGUACCUGAGUAAGAAGCACCGGCUAAAUACGUGCCAGCAGCCGCGGUAAUACGUAUGGUGCAAGCGUUAUCCGGAUUUACUGGGUGUAAAGGGAGCGCAGGCGGCACGGCAAGCCUGAUGUGAAAGCCCGCGGCCCAACCGCGGGACUGCAUUGGGAACUACCGGGCUGGAGUGCCGGAGAGGUAGGCGGAAUUACUAGUGUAGCGGUGGAAUGCGUAGAUAUAUGGAAGAACACCAGUGGCGAAGGCGGCUGUCUGGUCUGCAACUGACGCUGAGGCUCGAAAGUGUGGGUAUCAAACAGGAUUAGAUACCCCAGUAGUC
rnacentral:rRNA from 1 species